AUGUCUUCCGUCUUCGCUACGAGCCACCGGGCGGCUGCCACCGGCAUUCUGUUUCUGGCCGCCGCCAUGCAUCAACACGUCGCAGGAGCCGCACCAGCUGCUGCCGUCUACCACGUCGUCGGAGGCGACCCGGGCUGGGCCGUGGCCAGUGACGUCCUUGCCUGGUCGGCGGGCAGGCUCUUCACGGUCGGGGACACACUCUGGUUCACGUAUGAGCCGGCGGAGGACGGCGUCGCGGAGGUCACGGGCGAGGCGGAGUUCGGGUCGUGCGAGGCCGGCCACCCCAUCAGAACGUACACGGACGGGCUCAGCAGGGUAGGCCUCGACGACGAAGGCACGAGGUAUUUCCUCAGCGCAGACCCCGCCAAGUGCAAGGGCGGGCUGAAGCUGCGGGUCGACGUGCGGGCUACAGUGUCAGUGUCGCCACGUUCGGAGGACCGAGCUGCCGCAGCGGCGCCCGCGCCGUCUGCGUCAAGUGGCACCCAAGCUGCGGCACCGCUGAUGCGCAGUGCGUUGUGUCUGGUCUCCGUGUGGUGCUUUCUGUUCCUGGGUGCAUGA
rnacentral:rRNA from 1 species